GAUGAAAGAACGCAGCGAAAUGCGAUAAGUAAUGUGAAUUGCAGAAUUCAGUGAAUCAUCGAAUCUUUGAACGCACAUUGCGCCCUCUGGUAUUCCGGGGGGCAUGCCUGUUCGAGCGUCAUUAUAACCACUCAAGCUCUCGCUUGGUAUUGGAGUUCGCGAUCUCGCGGCUCCUAAAAUCAGUGGCGGUGCCUGUCGGCUCUACGCGUAGUAAUACUCCUCGCGAUUGAGUCCGGUAGGUUUACUUGCCAGCAACCCCCAAUUUUUACAGGUUGACCUCGGAUCAGGUAGGGAUACCCGCUGAACUUAAGCAUAUCAAUAAGCGGAGGA
rnacentral:misc_RNA from 1 species